UGAGAGCCACUGGGAAAAAAUUGUGUCGCUGUGGGACUGGGGAAAAAUGUUUUGUCACAAAGAGGAAAUUGGCUGAGAAAUAGGAAAUAAAGGGCGGUGAUAAACGGGCACUUUCUUGCUGGAAAAGGUAAACAGUGAGGGUCUCAGAUGUCGGGGCUGAUAAUGAGUUUUGUUUAACGUUUCAACCAGUGAUUUGUAAAAGGAAAAAGGCCGCUGGAAUUUUCGCCUCUGAAGAUUGCGUGAGUCUUUUAGGUACACUCUGUGUGGUCCACGUCCUGUUGGCCGUUCCAUUCUCUGAAAUGACAAUAUCUUUGGACUGCAGUAGCUUAAAAAGCAUUAAUUCCCAGUCAUUGGAAAUAACCUACAUUUCACUCAAGGCAAAGAAAUCGUUCCUGCUUUCCGAUAUUUGAGCUUUAUGACUGCCGAUUUAAGGCAACGCAAAUCCUGGAAGUGUACAGGAUUUGGGAGUAGCAGGCUGCUUGGAAGAGAAGAAAACUUCCCGAUUAAGAGUAAAAUAGACAAUUUUCCAGACUUCACUCAGACAUCUAAUGGGAAGAAAGCCUCUAAUUCAAAUGUUCUGAGUUGGAGUUGCUUUUCUGGCUUCCUCUCUUUUCCAUAUUCAAAUAAAUCAGACCAACAUAUCAUCUUGACUGGUAUUUUCAACUUUCAGGGAAGUUUGAGGUCCAUCAAAGAGACACAUUCUGUACUGAACAGUUUUUGGAGCUUCGAAAAAGAACAUAGAAUGAUUUCUCUAACGUCUUCCUUCCCCUGGAACAAUAUAUAUUUAAAAAUGUCACUCAGGAGUCAUUCCGAAAGGAUGCCUAACUGGGAGAAUCACAUACCUGAACUGAAAUGAUUGUACAACUUAAAUAUCUAUCUCAUCUUCUAUCAACUUGCCCCUUCUCCGUUGUACAUAAGUCAAAGAUUUGAACACGCAGUUGGAUCCCAAGGAAGAGUUGUGCAA